GGAGAGUCUUGGGGGAGCCCUGAUGAAGAAGCAGAAACAACACUGCUGAGAAGAGCUGCUUGUGAGAAAACCACUCAGAAGAGCUGGCUUUGAAUUUCUUGUGCUACCUUAGUGAAGACUUCACAUGAAGCCUGGAUGGGAGACCUGAAGAAAAUAUGGUUCAAGAAGCAAUUUAUUUGAGGCAUAAAGGAAAGGCUAGUUUGAAGAUGUGAAGAGGUUAGCAGGGAGCAUGAGUAUAGAGACCUGCACUUGAAAAGGGAAGAUGAUUGGCUGGCCUGCUUCAGGAGAAGGUGCUGGAGAAUGAAGGCUUCAAAUGCAGGAUAUAGUGCCUGCCAUAGAAAUUGAAUGGAGUACCUAGCAUGAUAUUCUUGCAUUUUUCAAGCUGUGUGGACUAUGGAGAAAAAAUGUGGAUGUGAGAACAAGUUGAAUUGGGGGAACACAAAGGAGCUUUCCCUAGAGGUGCUACAGUUAAGGUGGAACAUGAACUUACCUCAGCCAGAGAGUGUCCCAUCUGUCUCAUGUCUCUGGACAGGAGUCACUCUCAGAGCGGCACUUUGAUAGAUCUGUUAGGAAUGGCAAGUGAACUUCUACAGCUGACUUCAACCUCCAUACUCUUUCUGAAUUGAGCUGGACUGCACUUCCACAAGUUAUUCUUGUGUGUAAACUGAAUGCAUCAGGAGCAAUCAACAGGAAACAGGAUGUAGAAGGACUGAGACAUGGAGACAGGUCAGGCUGAGAGAUGGGAUGCCACGUGCUCUGCUACCUGAAGCUUGGUGGUGUGUUUGAGGCACUCUCUUCCCUGCUGGUGAGCUGAGCCCAUUUGUAUUGAUGUUUAUCUGUGAUAGCCCCAUCUGAUCUAACUUUGCCCUAGGUGGCAGAGACAGGUAAAUGCAUGAGAGAACAGAGGAAACAUUUUUGAGUAUAAACAGCAAGUGAGAGCAUAAUUCCUUCACUGCAUCAUUCAGAGUCUCUGCUUACAAUACUUCACCUCUAGCAGGUUGUGUGUUAUGGCAAAUCUUUGCCUAGAAGCUUAAGCUCACAACUUCAGAAAUUACAGCAGAAAUGGAAUAUUACCCUCACCAGAAGACCUACUGGAGGAGCAAAAGAAAAAUCCCCUAUUGGGGUCAAUGGCUGUUGCUUUUACUGGAAGGUGAAUGUUAACUAAUACUUAGAGGGGAAAAUUAACAUUAUUGAGAAAUUUCAUUUUACUACUAUGGGACCCAAACCUCAGGGUAUUAUCUAUGGUUCUUAACUAUUCCCCAAAUGGAGAGGCUGAUUUUUAUCACUUUUAAAAAGGCUUGUCAUCUCCAAGCCAUUGAGCAUAUUAAAGACUGCUUAAAUAAGCUGUUUGUAAUCAUUGCUGAUUGUUUCCCUUUGUUUAUUUAACAGACUAAAUCUAUUUAUAAAUUCAGUUUCUGUUCCCCUGUGACUGUCAUUAAUGUAUCUGCUUAUUUUACAUCAAUUAUCACUGUCAUGUAACCGAAUUGACUAAUAUAGUUUGUUGCUGUAUGAUUUCUCAGAGUGCAUUCAUUUUUACUCCCAUGUCUUUGAUCAGACACUUCCAAAACCACAUUAGCCAAAUCUUGUGCCUUGUGUUUUCACUUUUUGCUAACUGUCUAGAUCUCUGUAGAGAUUUUUCAGCAUGCAAAAGCUUUCUCCCUGCUCAAAAUCCUUGUACUUUAUACCACUUUCGUAAUCUUUUUUCCAUAGUAUAUACAAACAAUGUUUGUAUAUACCUUUACAGUAAAAUGUGAAAGGAAGAAGAAAACUUUUGCCUACAAUAUUCUGUACAAUUCCAUCAGGAGGAUGGAAUCUACUGUUCAGCUUCACAGGCUGCAAGUAUUGCUGUCGCUUUCAGAUGCUUGCUAUCUUUAUGCAAGGAUUGAUUAUACCAGGGAGAAGAGAUGCAGAUCUUCAGGGAUCUUUUGAUUAUUUGUGUGAUAAUACAUCAGAUAUUCCAGACAAAUAGAAAAAUAAGGAGUGGUGGAUAUUUAUGUACAUUAUGCUGACUGUAGCAGAGCAGCUCUGGUAAAGCCCAUUUGGGUGAUUUGUGUUCUACUAUCAGUCUCAACAAUUAAAAAAGAAAACCCAA